rnacentral:rRNA from 1 species
UACGGAGGGUGCAAGCGUUAUCCGGAUUCACUGGGUUUAAAGGGUGCGUAGGUGGGCAAGUAAGUCAGCGGUGAAAUCUCCGGGCUUAACCCGGAAACUGCCAUUGAUACUAUUUGUCUUGAAUACUGUGGAGGUCAGCGGAAUAUGUCAUGUAGCGGUGAAAUGCUUAGAUAUGACAUAGAACACCAAUUGCGAAGGCAGCUAUCUACAGGGAUAUUGACACUGAGGCACGAAAGCGUGGGGAUCAAACAGG